rnacentral:rRNA from 1 species
UACGUAGGGUGCAAGCGUUAAUCGGAAUUACUGGGCGUAAAGCGUGCGCAGGCGGUUUUGUAAGUCUGUCGUGAAAUCCCCGGCUCAACCUGGGAAUGGCGAUGGAGACUGCAAGGCUAGAGUUUGGCAGAGGGGGUAGAAUUCCACGUGUAGCAGUGAAAUGCGUAGAUAUGUGGAGGAACACCGAUGGCGAAGGCAGCCCCUGGGUCAAAACUGACGCUCAUGCACGAAAGCGUGGGGAGCAAACAGG